GUAGGGCGCAAGCGUUAUCCGGAAUUAUUGGGCGUAAAGAGCUCGUAGGCGGUUUGUCGCGUCUGCUGUGAAAUCCCGAGGCUCAACCUCGGGUCUGCAGUGGGUACGGGCAGACUAGAGUGCGGUAGGGGAGAUUGGAAUUCCUGGUGUAGCGGUGGAAUGCGCAGAUAUCAGGAGGAACACCGAUGGCGAAGGCAGAUCUCUGGGCCGUAACUGACGCUGAGGAGCGAAAGGGUGGGGAGCAAACAGGCUUAGAUACCCUGGUAGUCCACCCCGUAAACGUUGGGAACUAGUUGUGGGGUCCUUUCCACGGAUUCCGUGACGCAGCUAACGCAUUAAGUUCCCCGCCUGGGGAGUACGGCCGCAAGGCUA
rnacentral:rRNA from 1 species